UUAUAAACUAAUGCAUACAUAACAUACCUUCCUUAAGCCUAACCAUCAAACCUCAAAAUGAAGACAUCAAAAUCAAGCAAAUUCCCAACACUUUUGCUUAUACUCCUACUCUUUUCAGCUUGUGCAACCACAACUAUGGUCUUUGGUGUUGCUCAUGGUAUCAGAAUCCCGGAGCACGUGUGCAAAAAGACGAUUAGCAUGAGGAAAUGUGAGGUGAGAGGAUGCGAAGAUAAGUGUAGUAAAAAAGAGCCAUUUGGUGUUGGAAAAUGUAGUGGUAAUAUGUGUAUAUGUUCGUAUUAUUGUGAGUUGCCCCCAAUGUGAUCAUGAUUAUGAUUCUUGACGUAUGUAAGCCUCCCCAUUCUAGAAAUAAGGUCUUUGAUCUAUGUUGAGAGCCCAAAAUCUUCUUCU